UACAGAGGGUGCAAGCGUUGUUCGGAAUCACUGGGCGUAAAGCGCGUGUAGGCGGUUUCCUAAGUCAGGUGUGAAAUCCCCCGGCUUAACCGGGGAAGUGCGCCUGAAACUGGGAGGCUUGAGUAUCGGAGAGGAAAGGGGAAUUCCCGGUGUAGAGGUGAAAUGCGUAGAUAUCGAGAGGAACACCUGCGGCGAAGGCGGGUUGCUGGGCCGACACUGACGCUGAUGCGCGAAAGCCAGGGGAGCGAAUGGG
rnacentral:rRNA from 1 species